CCUACGGGCUGCAGCAGUGGGGAAUAUUGGACAAUGGGCGAAAGCCUGACCCAGCAAUGCCGCGUGUGUGAAGAAGGUCCUCGGAUUGUAAGGCACUUUCGACGGGGACGAUGAUGACGGUACCCGUAGAAGAAGCCCCGGCUAACUUCGUGCCAGCAGCCGCGGUAAUACGAAGGGGGCUAGCGUUGCUCGGGAUGACUGGGCGUAAAGGGCGCGUAGGCGGUUUAUGCAGUCAGAUGUGAAAUCCCCGGGCUUAACCUGGGAACUGCAUUUGAGACGCAUAGACUAGAGGUCGAGAGAGGGUUGUGGAAUUCCCAGUGUAGAGGUGAAAUUCGUAGAUAUUGGGAAGAACACCGGUGGCGAAGGCGGCAACCUGGCUCGAUACUGACGCUCAGAUGCGAAAGCGUGGGGAGCAAACAGGAUUAGAUACCCUCGUAGUC
rnacentral:rRNA from 1 species